UUGCGGCCGUAUCAUAUUGAAACACCGGUUCUCGUACGAUCAGCGAAGUUAAGUAACGUCGAACCUGGUUAGUGCCUAGAUGGGUGACCGCUUCGGAAUACCAGGUGCUAUAA